AGGGGUGUAGUUAAACGGUAUAACGAGGCUCUCCAAAAGCUUUAUUGGGGGUUCAAUUCCCUCCACCCCUG
rnacentral:tRNA from 2 species